rnacentral:lncRNA from 1 species
AUGCCGCUCUUACCUGUUGCAGCGUCUGGAGAACGGUGUCAGAGCCACUUCAAUGAAAUACUUCUCCAGGAACGUUUUCCUUGCGAUAUGUUGCAUUGUGCAGCCAGGGAGAGCCACAGCCACUUAGCAACAGCACAGCGCCAGGACACCAAGACGUCACUGCUGCGAUCAGACAGGUUACCCGCGAACCCCACGGGGAGCCAGGCAGCUCUUCUGCCUCCCUUGCCUAGACACAAGCAGCCUUUUCCUCUGAGUGGGAUGAGCCUUGCAGUGUGCAUUUCAGGUGUGCUCACAAAUGACCCGUGUGACCUUUUUUCUGCAUUGCUUCCUCGUGACUGAAGGUAUUUUUUCAUCUGUAGAUGGAAGAGGUUAAUAAUUAGCCUGAUGGCCUUGAUGAAGGAGAUAUUUGCAGCAAAUGAACCAUAAUCACUAGAUUAAAUCUGAAUACAUUUCUCCAUUCUCUUAAGCAACAUUUUAUGCUGAUUUGGAUAUCUGACUUAAAGCAUACAAAAGACAGUGGAUGAAAGAGUAAAUGCCUUUGCUGAUGUACAGUUUUAAUAACACAGUUAUUGGGAGCCCGUCCUGGAUUUUUUCAGAUCAAUAGUUUUCAGAAGUACUGAGCCCUCAAAUCUGAUUGAACUCUUAAAGAGCUGUUGUGAUCCACGUCUUAAGAAACAGGCCACGCCAGUAAAUAUUUUGCUGUUUAGUAUAACGAUAUUAGAAUAUGUUCCUAGAGAUACCAUUUGUGUAGCCACACAAAGAAUGUACCUUAAAUUGUAAGGAAAACGAAGGCAUCUAUUUUAUAAUUUGUAAAAAAUUAAAACACACAGUGUAAAAUGUUCUUGCGCUGUUAUGUUACAGUAGAGUUGGGCUGAGCAGAGAACUGGACUCCAGCUGUGAGCCUUGGAUCUGGUAGGUAUUAUAUCACCUCUUUGCAAACGGAUCCACCUGGGAAGCAACACGGAAGGCUUCCCAAGCAAAAGAGCGGCUGCUAAUUUUGCGGGAUGGCACACCUUCCCAGCGCCACAUGGCAAAACGAGGGGGUGCGCUUGGGAAUGCCGGUCCGCACAGCGGCCGUGCCGCUAAGUGGAAACGGAUCUCCAGAGAGGCGGGCUGUCGACCUGCUGCUCCUCCCAG